rnacentral:sRNA from 1 species
CAUGCUUGCAUGGUAAAAACAUUACCCAAUGGGCCAUCGCUCCAGCCCCAUCAGUUCAGCUCUAAUUAUUAUUUAUGAAUCCUAAUACCCAAGAAGGAAUAAAAGAGGGGUAGAAACCCCCUCUCAUUCUUUAAAGAUGCACACCUAAGGGGCCGAGAGCUCAGCUUAGGGCUAGAGCCCAGCUUAUUGCUACGGUGCAUGCCUAGCACGUGGGAGGUCCUGGAUUCAACUCCCAGGAACUUAGCCAAAAUGGAUUGUUUUCAUCUCCUUAGGUGUCCCCAGGAGACCAGCGGAGAAGCUGAAAAUACACUUGAUAAGUCUGAUAGGAAAAGGAGAGAGAUUGGGAAGCUGAGUUAGAAGAAAGGAGAGAGGGUCUUUAUUUCCUUUUUUUAAAAUUUUGUUGAGAAAUUUUCAACAUUAAGAUGUGUUUUGAAGCACGCCUCACUACUUUUUUUUUCUACUUAGAGAAAGCACUAUUUUUGUUCUGUCCUCUGAAGGACAGUGCCCCUUUGAUUCACUGCAGAGCCCACUUAUUGUGGAAAUAGUUUAAGGUUAAAGUUUGACUGCCUUCACGUGUAUCUCUCCUUUCAGCUUGUGGUUGUAUUUGGGGGUGUAGUAACGGUGAUGUCUGGAUUUCAGUGAUCAGUAGCAUUUCCAGCAUUGCGAGUGGUACCUUGGGGUAAUGUGAAGACCCCCCUCAGGGGAGGAAGGAUGAGGGAGGAUGAGGGUACCACACCGAGGAAACAGCUGUUGCAACAACAGACUGAGUUCUGACUACUUCUCCCGGUCUAGAUUAGAAAUUAUUUUAAGUUAACUUUCUGUCUUAGUAACUCACUUUCUGUAAAAAUAACAUUUUUUAAGAGUGAGAAAUGAAUAAUUGCCACUCAUUGUUCUUGAGACUAGCUAGGUAAGCAUAUUAGAAAACACUGAUGAAAGGUCUAGAUUAUGUAAUGGUAGUCUAGGAAAUAAUUAUGGUGGUACUGACAGGGGGUGCUGCUGUUAGGUGGUCCACUGUGAGAUCCACCUGAGAGAUGAAGAUGUAUCUUAGUAGCCAAGCGCUUGCCUAGCAUGCCCAAGGCUUUGUUUUCAUCCUUAGUACACAUAUCCACAAGCGAGCACAAAAAUGACCUCUAACCUUUUGCAGUCAGAGCUCUUUUUAUCAGAGUUGGCAUGCCCAGAAGAUGUACUCUGUGUUCAGAACGCCCAUCCUCCUUGGAAAAGAAGACAUGAAUGUCACUAACUUACAAGGACAAAUGGAGAAAUCCCUUCCACCUCCUAGACUUACUGAGGCUCCCAUGCAGUCUAUAUAAAGAACAUUGACUGGUUGAUCCCUCACUGAGAACAAAAAUUUUGAAAGUAUUGUUCUUGGAGUCCACAGGAGUGAAUGAGGGCCACUCUCUCACAUAAGGAAGAGCCUUGAUGGAAGGCCAGAUCGAAGCAAGGUGCAGUGGGUAGCCUUUGCCCCAAAGAGACCAUUCUAAGAAAGCCCAGGGUAGCACGCCUGGUCAGGCAGUGGGCAAUGCAAAGGCAGGGCAGGCCUUGUUGAGACAGACAGGCUGCUGCCAUCUUGGUUAACCUCCAGUCCCUGUGUCGUGCCUUGUGACACUCCCAUUACCUAUGAGCACUCAAAUAUGUAAAAAAAAAAAAA